rnacentral:antisense_RNA from 1 species
CUUCACCGAGCCCAGCCACAGCGGCCGGUCGCGAUCGCGGCCGUAGGUCGCCAGCAGCGCCUGUGCCUC